AGAUCUGUGCUUCUGGGUUCCGCAGUCUGAGUGGACUUUAUAACCAGUGCUCGCGGCGACGUUGGUUGGUUCCCCUGGAUCUCGACACCUAACGGGGGUGAGAACCGCCGAGUUGUCAUCAGUGUCCGGGCAGAAGGAGCUGACACAGGUCAGGAGCUGGAGAAGUGAAACUGGGGACAGGGGAUCCCCGCGCUGGGCGUCCCCACCCCGGACCUCACCGCCUGGGACUAAGACUUUGUCUGACCCUGUGCUGGGGACACAGCGCGGUUUGUCCCGGUGUCUCUGAGCCGCCCAAGGCCAAUGCUGGUCAGGUUCGUCAGGAUGAAACCUGAGAGCUUGAGGAUUCCGGUAAAAUACAUGCAGCACUUAAAAUGAAUGUUCACGGAAACAGAUGCUGUCACAGUCCGGGUGAGUGCGUGGGGCCGCCGUGUGGACACCUGCAUGGGAGGUGACUGGAGUUUUACAGCUCUGGUCAAGUCCUUCUGACACACUGUGUCAUAUGUGACUCUCCGUGCAGGAAGCAGUCCCUACUCUCCUCUGCUUUCACUUUCUACUUAAGUUACGUGUGGCUUGUAUUUGUGACACAAAUCAAAAUGCACUGAAACCAAAAAAUUUUAAGUUUGGUUUUUCUCCACAUUACUGAACAAUAGGAUAAAACCUCCAAUUCCCAGUGUGAACCUCUGCCAUGAGAAUCACCAACUGUCCAGUGUCCACACUGCACAGGCCUGAGAAACCCAGGAGCCAACACAGUUAUCAGAUCCAGGGCCCCACAAACCUGUGACGCUCAUCUUCCUCAUCUCAUCAGCUCAUAAAGUGUGGGUGAUGUUCAAAGAGAGAGACAGAAAUAGAGAGGGGGGAAGGAGAGAGAAUGAGAGGGUCACAGGUUAUAUGCCUUCUAACACACUAUCAUCAUUAUUCUCUUUAUACGUAGUUACAGUUCCUCUCUUACUGUGUUUAUUCACUAAAGCAACUGUGCCAUGGAAAUGUGUGACACAGGGAAACAUGGAGUGUAGACAGGAUCAGUGUCCUGCCGUAUCUGAUAUCCACGGGUCUCUCCCCAGUGGAGAAGGGGUCCACUGUGCUGAGACGAUGACCCAGGUCCACACAGGCAAUCUGGGGACUAUGGAAUGAAGAUCCCUGUAAAACACAACCACUUGGAGCCACAGAUGGUCAUCUGGAAAAAACACCAGGAGUCUGAGUGUAAGCUCAAGUCUGUGACACACUGUAGGGAGAGAUCCCAAUAUCUGUACCAAUCACCACACCUGGCUGGGCGUGGUCACAGCCCGUCCAGGAUCUCUCCUUUCUAAGAAGAAAGAGAAGCCUUAGAGUCUAGGGCAAUAGAAACAGGAAAAAACAGGACUGGGAAAAAACAGGAUUGAUCUGAGCCCACAUGAGAUAAAGCUAAAGGAGGACCAUGGCUGUCUGAGCUGCCACAGGCUCCUGUCUAUACAACUCCAAGGGUCUUGGGUCUGAGGCUGUCCUGCCCUUGUCAAACUUACAGCCAGAUGGAACUUUCCAUCCUUUUCCACCUGUGAGAGAAAACUUCUUGAAAGAGGGUAGGGAGGAGGCAGAGCCAUGAGGGCCAAAAAGACCUAAAAAGCUUGGAACCAGGGAAGUUUCCAGAACUCUGAAACAAAAUAGGACAUCUAUUCUUGGUUGUCAACCUGAGCAUAUCUGUAAAUAACUAACACUGAAAAAUGGAGGACACCCCUGUGAGGGAUGUUUGCUUAAUUUGAAGUCAGAAGGUCAAUUUCUGAUCUGGAUCUUUGAGCUGGGAAAACACACCCCUAAUCCAGAUCAUUUGAGCUGCAGAAAGCCACCUCUAAUCUGGGCCACACCUGCUGUAAGUCUAUACAAGGACAUGAAAGAAGCAAGAUUUUUCUCUUGGCCUCCUAGAACUCACCUCACUAGCAAGUCCAUUCCUUCCCUGGCAUUAGAGCCGACUUCUUCAGGAUUCCAGCUGAGACAUCCAGCCUGGUGGACUGACUGAGCAACUACUUGAUUUUUGGUCUUUUUAUUUAUAGUCAGACAUUGUUGGAUUAGCUGGACCACAGCCUGUGAGUUAUUCUAAUUAAUCCCCUUUCUAUAGAUAGAUAUAUAGAUGCCCAGACAGAUACAUAGAAUUGCAGAUGGAUACAUAGAUGCACAGAUAGACACAUAGAUGCACAGAGAGAUACAUAGAUGCGCAGAUGGAUACAUAGAUGCACAGAUGGAUACAUAGAUGCACAGAUGGAUACAUAGAUGCACAGAUGGAUACAUAUCUAGAUAGCUUCAGUCUAUAAGUUCUGUUGUGCUAGAGAAUCCUGACUGUGACAGUGACCCAGGAAAGGCUGAGGAAACACUGGGAUAUCCUGUGGGGGAAGAGAGCUCCUGGAGAGCUGUUCUCAGUAAACACCAACCCUCCAUUCACUGACUGCUGUGACCCAAGUCCCAUCUCCACCACUGUUAGGGUCAUAGGUCUGUUCUGUGUCCUCUCACGUGCUUUACAAUAAAGUGUCUGCAAGCAGAGUCCCAGACUGUGUGAGCACCGUGUGGGAUGCUACACUCAUAAUCCUGAGCCCCACUUCUGAACACUAGAGACUCGAAUAUUGAAAUCUCUCAAGACCAAGCUCUCCAAAGCAUAAAAUUCCUAAAGUUACAGUCCUGCCCCCUAAAAGAAAAUACCAAAUGUUUUAAUCGGCCAAAUCCAAUUCUCCAUGAACAGAGUCCCCAUGGUUGGGAGGGUGUCAAUGUAAGAAGACAGAAAGCCAAGUUCUAUUAAAGCCUUGGCCACACAGCACUGUUGAAAACCUAAUAAACACUCGUCAUCCUCUA